ACGGCGCGCAGGGACGUCAUCAUGUUCUUCAUGCUGCUGUCCAGCCCCGUGAACGCGUCCCAGCUCUUCACCUCCUUGUCCAAACCCCGGAUGUCCUUAGCGAAUUUCUUGCACUCGAUAUCCAUGUCCUCAACGUUCAGGUCCGCCCACCUGGUUGUCUUCCAGGUGGCGAUGUUCAAGUUCACCUGGCCCCAGGAUACAUUUUCACAAUUAGCAGAUUAGCAGAAGCAUUCCUGCCCAGGAAGAGGAGCAGCACACUCAGUGCCUGCAUGCCCUGUGUGCCCAGCGGGCCCCCCACACCUGCACACACCAUGCAGACCUGCUCUAAGUGUGACAACCUGCCCCGUGUCUCAUCCUCCCUCUGAUGGCAAUGAGCUCUCUCAGAGGCUGCAACAGCUCUGCACCUUGGGCUGGCAAUGGCCGGCUGGCAACAGGUGCCCAUGCCAGCCAAAAGCAGCCUGCUGUCCAGCCCUUGCC